rnacentral:rRNA from 1 species
AGUGCUGCAGCUAACGCAUUAAGCACUCCGCCUGGGGAGUACGGUCGCAAGACUGAAACUCAAAGGAAUUGACGGGGGCCCGCACAAGCGGUGGAGCAUGUGGUUUAAUUCGAAGCAACGCGAAGAACCUUACCAGGUCUUGACAUCCUCUGACAAUCCUAGAGAUAGGACGUCCCCUUCGGGGGCAGAGUGACAGGUGGUGCAUGGUUGUCGUCAGCUCGUGUCGUGAGAUGUUGGGUUAAGUCCCGCAACGAGCGCAACCCUUGAUCUUAGUUGCCAGCAUUCAGUUGGGCACUCUAAGGUGACUGCCGGUGACAAACCGGAGGAAGGUGGGGAUGACGUCAAAUCAUCAUGCCCC